rnacentral:ncRNA from 1 species
CGACCCCAGGUUAGGCGGGAUUACCCGCUGAGUUUAAGCAUAUCAAUAAGCAAAGGAAAAGAAACUUACCAGGAUUCCCCUAGUAACGGCGAGCGAACCGGGAAAAGCCCAGCUUGAGAAUCGGGUGCCACCGGCAUUCGAAUUGUAGUCUGGAGAAGCGUCCUCAGUGGCAGACCGGGCCCAAGUCCCCUGGAAAGGGGCGCCGGAGAGGGUGAGAGCCCCGUCGUGCCCGGACCCUGUCGCACC